rnacentral:lncRNA from 1 species
AUCAUCCUGAAAAGAAAAUAAAAAUGUUUAAAAUAGUAAGCCCCAUGUGGGUAUGCUCAUGGCAUAAAACCCAUAAGUACAUUCACUGUGGUGGCAUAGAAAUAAAAUAAAUAUAUUCCUGUUCUAUAAAAAUAAAAUUAUAAAAAUAAAUUUAUGAUCCUACUAAAGAGAGUAACAUUUAUUGAGGAGGCUCAACAUGAUAAAGGCUAGAUAUUUAUGCUAACACUUAACUAGUUCCACAAAGCUUUGUUGUCUAUUUGAGCUCCACAGAAUUCAAGGUUCAAAGAAGACUAGCAGACGGAGGACAUCCUACUCGCUGUCAGGGCGCUGCCGACAUUCAAAUACACCUCUGCCACGUGCUAGCUACAUCAGAAGGAAUUACGUCAAAAUCCAGCUUGGGCGAGAGCAUUCCCAUUUAUCCAGCUAAGUGUUUCUACUCGCGUUUAUACUUUACUCAAAUAAUAAAAAUAUGCAUAAUCAUAAAAAACCAAAUAAAGAUUUUGUGCUUAUAUAUAUAUAUAUAUAUCUUUGCUCAGUUUGCUAAAUAAAUAAAUAAAGUUUGCUAUGAACCCUCAUGAUAAGCUCUCACAUGGAAAUGAUGAGUAGUUGCUCUACCAUGACUAGUUCUCAAAAUUGAAAUCUCUCUCAAGUUUAGGCAUGACCGUUAUUAAUUAAGAUUUGCUCUAAACCUAAACUUGUGGGAAGAGUACUUGAUCUGAAGUCUAAGUCGUUAACUGAUAUGAUAUGGGAAGGUUGAGCUGCUGUUUAUCUGUUCCUAGAGAUGCUAGAAUUCUGGAGAAUUUUAUCUUUGAAAAUCUUUAAAAUGUUGCAUGAUGAGUUCCUGUAUGAUGAGAGUUUAAAUUCCUACCACAGCCAUAUAUACAUGCUUGUUAGACUAUGAACCACACAUUUACUUUUUAAUGCUUAUGAGCAUUGAGUGUGGUCAAGCUGUGUAGACCCUUAGGAGCUUGUCAGGUGGUUAAAUCAAGAUUCACUUGCACGUUCACUCACACAUGCUACUUCUACUCCAGAAGUACCAUCCACAUAUAUCCAUCCAUUUCCAUCUCCAGAACCACCCAAAAAUAUUCUACUCCUAAUCCGGGAGAGAAUAGCCAAAAACAUUCUCCUAUUUCUGUUUUUCCCUGUGAAAAAAAAAUGCUCAAGUUAUCUUGGUUACUACCACUUGCUAUAUUAUUUCAGGAGAUGAGUGCUCUAAAAAAAGAAAGAAAAAAGAAAGAAUGCGAGGAAAUAAAAGGGGCAAGUGCCCGGAACCUCGAAAGAAAAGAAAAAGUGAGACGAGAGGUAAAAAUGGACAAGUGUCCGACAGUAGAAUUAGGGGUACAAGAUACCCACCUGAGAGAAAAGAAAAAUAAAAUAUAGAGCAUCUCAUUCUCCUCAAAAAGUUUCAAAAGAGCAAGAAAGGUAUGUAUCCCCUCAAAAGAGCAUAAGUAGAAUUAGACUUCCACCAUUGUUAUCACCAUCAUCACCAUACACCAUUCAUUCGCCACACAUGCACAUCUUGAUUUGACUUAUUGACUUGUUCUUCUGGAUCCAUGGUUUGACUAUGCAAUAAAUGUCUUGUAAGUAUGUAUUAGCUGUCUCCCACCUAUGAGCUCCAGAUAUCAAAACCUUAUUAGAGUAGGGUGUGAGAGAAGGCAAUGCCACUAUGCCUCAUACCAAAAAUACCACAUACUUUGAGAGAAGGCAUACACCAUUACUGCCUUGGUAAGGAUCCAAAAAUACCACAAAAGAGAGACUAGAGAAAGUCAUACAAGGAAUCUCUGAGUUUUAUUUGAAAAUCUACAAAAACUCCAGUGCUAUAGUUAAUCGAAGAACAAGAGACAUGGCGCUUGACUAAACCGUUCUAUCCUUUAACUGCUCAAGACAAAAGUGACGGUUGCAAGCCCCAUGGUGAAAGGUAAUAUGAGUAAGUUUAAAUCUUAAUAGUUACCCUAACCCAAAGAUGAGAUCUUGUUUGAAUGCAUGUAUAACUUUAAGGCAUGAAACCACUGCAGAAACUCUUGAGUUCAUCUUUGCUCAGGGACGAGCAAAGGUUAAGCUUGGGGGAGCUUGUUGACGGUCCUUAAUGCUCAUAUUUAACCAUCAACUAAUCAUGGAAAAGGAUCCAAAUGCAACCAACACCUAGACUUAGGGUUUUAUCUGACAGAAUUCCACGAGUUUUGGUGUUUGUCUAUUUCUGUAGGGGGUUAUCAGGAAAUACAGAAGAAAUGCCCACACGUCGGGUUUACAUAGAGAUAUUAACGUGCCGUGCAAUUUUCUACCAUCUAGAAGACUCCAGAAGCCACAGAAACGAACGGGAGGCCGAUCGGGCCCGAGGGCAGGGCGCCCGCCCUCCCCCCUUGGGUGCCCGCCCAGCUACAGUGCCCAAUCAGGACACGUUUCGCGGAUUAUGCUCCACCGACCUAAAGGAUCAAGGAAAACUGUGCGAUUAAUGUCGGUUUGAUCCGAGGGCCCAGAUUCAUCUGAAAAGACUAUAUAUGCAAGGCCCCUAGCCCCUGGAGAUCAUACCUCUUCUACAGAAUCAAAGCUAGGGUUUCAAGUCUUCAUCCAAGUAGAGAGGAUCCCUCUAGUUCUUCUAGUUCUACCUCUAGUUCAUCUAGAUCUAGUUCUAGUUCAUCUAGUUCUAGUUCUAGUUCCUCUAGUUCUAGUUCUAGUUAGUUCUAGUUGUAAUCUAGAAAAUAGGGAGAGAGAAGAGGAGAGCGGAUGAGGAGCCGGAUCUGUUGGAUCUUCCUCAACAUUGUACUUUUGAAGCAUCUGGUUCGUUCUUCAUCAUUCUCCAGGUUCUUCAAUUCAUAAUCCUGAGUUCUUUAUUUACUUUUAUUUACAUUCAAGUCAUUUAUUGGAUUCCCGCUUGCAUCAAGUGCUCUAAUCUUUGCAACAUUAGAGUAGUAAUUAAUAGAUUAGACGUGGUGUUUAGUCUUGCAAUUACCUGGAAUUGCACCCAAUCCUGCGGAUUGUUGUGGUUGCCCUAGGGUAGUGACAGCCCUAACGGUCGACGUAUUCCACCUCGUUCCGGAUCGGUGUUUGUAGGACCGUAGUCAGACCUUCUUAGCCCCCUUCUCAUCUCUUUCUGUGGUUAGUGCUCUGAUGUCCCGAUAUAAAUAAUCUUUGAAGUAAUUCUUGAUUCUUAGAUCAAUUAGAGAACUCUCAGGAAACUUCCUCUCUUCCCACCAAAAAUAAUUAUAUAGUUAUCCUUGGGCGAUCUUGGAUCUUAAUUAGUACACUCACGUUCCCUGUGGAAAAUCGAUACUCUGGAAUACUCCCGGGUGAAAGCUACAUCGGUAUCCGUGCGCUUGCGGAUUUUUCUGUUUGCGUUUAAAAUACCCAANNNNNNNNNNNNNNNNNNNNNNNNNNNNNNNNNNNNNNNNNNNNNNNNNNNNNNNNNNNNNNNNNNNNNNNNNNNNNNNNNNNNNNNNNNNNNNNNNNNNNNNNNNNNNNNNNNNNNNNNNNNNNNNNNNNNNNNNNNNNNNNNNNNNNNNNNNNNNNNNNNNNNNNNNNNNNNNNNNNNNNNNNNNNNNNNNNNNNNNNNNNNNNNNNNNNNNNNNNNNNNNNNNNNNNNNNNNNNNNNNNNNNNNNNNNNNNNNNNNNNNNNNNNNNNNNNNNNNNNNNNNNNNNNNNNNNNNNNNNNNNNNNNNNNNNNNNNNNNNNNNNNNNNNNNNNNNNNNNNNNNNNNNNNNNNNNNNNNNNNNNNNNNNNNNNNNNNNNNNNNNNNNNNNNNNNNNNNNNNNNNNNNNNNNNNNNNNNNNNNNNNNNNNNNNNNNNNNNNNNNNNNNNNNNNNNNNNNNNNNNNNNNNNNNNNNNNNNNNNNNNNNNNNNNNNNNNNNNNNNNNNNNNNNNNNNNNNNNNNNNNNNNNNNNNNNNNNNNNNNNNNNNNNNNNAUUUGGAUCCUUUUCCAUGAUGAGUUGAUGGUUAAAUUAUGAGCAUUAAGGUCCGUCAACAAGCUCCCCCAAGCUUAACCUUUGCUCGUCCGUGAGCAAAGAUGAACUCAAGAGUUUCCGCAGUGGUUUCAUGCUUUAAAGUUAUACAUGCAUUCAAACAAGAUCUCAUCUCUGGGUUAGGGUAACUGUUAAGAUUUAAACUUACUCAUAUUACCUUUCACCAUGGGGCUUGCAACUGUCACUUUUGUCUUGAGCAGUUAAAGGAUAGAACGGUUUAGUCAAGCGCCAUGUCUCUUGUUCUUUGAUUAACUAUAGCACUGGAGUUUUUGUAGAUUUUCAAAUAAAACUCAGAGAUUCCUUGUAUGACUCUCUCUAGUCUCUCUUUUAUGGUAUUUCUGGAUCCUUACCAAGGCAGUAAUGGUGUAUGCCUUCUCUCAAAGUAUGUGGUAUUUUUGGUAUGAGGCAUAGUGAUAUUGCCUUCUCUCUCUCCCUACUCUAAUAAGGUUUUCGAUAACUGGAGCUCAUAGGUGGGAGACAGCAAAUACAUACUUACAAGACAUUUAUUGCAUAGUCAAACCAUGGAUCCAGAAGAACAAGUCAAUAAGUCAAAUCAAGAUGUGCAUGUGUGGCGAAUGAAUGGUGUAUGGUAAUGAUGGUGAUAACAAUGGUGAAAGUCUAAUUCUACUUGUGCUCUUUUGAGGGGAUACAUACCUUUCUUGCUCUUUUGAAACUUUUUGAGGAGAAUGAGAUGCUCUAUAUUUUCUUUUUCUUUCCUCUCAGGUGGGUAUCUUGUAUCCCUAAUUCUACUGUCGGACACUUGUCCAUUUUUACCUCUCGUGUCACUUUUUCUUUUCUUUCGAGGUUCCAGGCACUUGCCCCUUUUUAUUUCCUCGUAUACUUUUUUUUUCUUUUUUUAGAGCACUCAUCUCAUGAGAUAAUAUAGCAAGUGGUAGUAACCAAGAUAACUUGAGCAUUUAUUUCACAGGGAAAAAUAGAAAUGUUUUUGGCUAUUCUCUCUCGGAUUAAGAGUAGAAUAUUUUUGGGUGGUUCUGGAGAUGGAAAUGGGUGGAUAUAUGUGGAUGCGUACUUCCGGAAGAAGAAGUAGGCUAGAUAUUUAUGCUAACACUUAACUAGUUCCACAAAGCUUUGUUGUCUAUUUGAGCUCCACAGAAUUCAAGGAUCAAAGAAGAUCAGCUGACGGAGGACAUCCUAAUCGCUGUCAAGGUGCUGCCGACAUUCAAAUACACCUCCACCACCUGCUAGCUACAUGAGAAGAAAUUACGUCAAAAUCCAGCUUGGGGGAGAGCACCCCCAUUUAUCCAGCUAAGUAUUCUACUCACGUUUAUACUUUACUCUGAUAAUAAAAUGAUGCAUAAUCAUAAGAACCCAAAUAAAGAUUUUGUGCUUAUAUAUAUCUUUGCUUAGUGUUGGGUAUUCUUAACAUCAUUACCAAAAGUAGAUUAAAUUCUCUAAAUCUAGUAACGGUGCCAAAAAUGCCAAACCUAUCCCUCAUACCACUUAAGCCAAGUUGUCAUCCCCAGCAUGAUAUAAGAGACGCGGUAUUGAAAUAUGCAAUUGCUCUUCUAAAUAAAUAAUGAAUGGGAUCUGCAAGCGCACAGAUUAAUAUCGAUGCAGCAUUUUAACCGGGAAGUAUUCCAGGUAUCGUUAUUUAUAUUUUUACCACUGGGAAGGGAUUAACAAUCAUCACUAUUGAUUACAGAAUAGAAUAUGAGAUUGAGCAUCUAUCAUUGCAUGUAUAAUUGAGAACAUUAUAUCUAACUCUUCAUACAGGGAUAAGUGUCACAUAAAAGAUAUAUGAAAUAAUAAUAGUGAUAAGGAUAACUAAUCUGAUCUAGCCACAUAAUAAAUAUGAUAAGCACCUCAAUUAGAUACUCUAGAAAGUCAUUAGCAUGGUAUUAGAACGAACUACAAGAAUAUUCCCUAAGUUAUACUUAACUAUAUAGUCUAGCAUAUCAUAGUUAGUGCAAGCAUACUUAGCAAUCAUUGUGAGACAAGACUACGCCCAUGCAUAGUGAUAUUAGCAAGGAAUAUGAGAAACAUAGCAAUCACUCCCCUGUAAUAAUGUUGCUCUGCCAGCCCAAUACAUGAGAGGGGGACUAUAUAAGAAUCAAUGAAGUUGUCACUAUCACGAACCACCCCACGAUCUGGCAUAUUGGGUACAAUCGCAGAUAAAUACGGUAUAAGCACCACGCCUACACAAUAUCUAUCAUUUACCCAUGGAUCCGAUGGAUAAACGCUAUACGAUCCUAAGCAUGUAUAUAGAUCCAAUCUAACUAAGCCAAGUACAUAACUAUGAUAAACUAAGAGCAAUAUAAUCUUGAAUAUAAGCAAGUAGAGCAAAGUCAUAAGCAAUAUAUUGAAGUAGAUCAAAGUCAUAUUCAUAAUAUUGAAGAACAAAGAUAAUUAGAAAAUAAUUAGAAGCACAAUUAGAGAAUUACCAAGAAUCCUCUUGACAGAUCCGGAAACCAAUCGAAGAUUGACUCCUUCUAGUUCUAAUCCUAUGUAGCUAUGCUAAUCUAGAUAUCUAAUUGAUGUGGUGGCUCUAAUCUUGAUUAGAGGCUUCUUCUCCCUUGAUGGAACAAUGAAUUGGGGUUGAGAGGCUCUCUCCUCCAGGGGCCAGGGGGUCUGGUUUUAUAGUCCCUUCAAGUGAAUAUGGGCCGUUGGAUCAAACCGACAUAGAUUGUAUGGUUUAGAUUCAUCCUUUAGGUCGGUGGAGAUCUCCCGCAAAGCAGAGUCCUGAUUGGACUCCUGGAGGGGGCGGGCGCCCAGGGCAGGAGGGCGGGCGCCCUGCCUCUGGCCCCGUUUCGCCUCCGCUUCGGUCUCGUGGCUUCUGGAGUCUUCUAGAUGUAAGAUAAUUGCGCAGCACGUUAAUAUCUUUACGUAAUCCCGACGUGUGGGCCUUUCUUCCGUAUUUCCUGAUAACCCCCUGCAGAAAUAGACAAACACCAAAACUCGUGGAAUUCUGUCAGAUAAAACCCUAAGUCUAGAUGUUGAUUUCAUUUGGAUCCUUUUCUUUAUUUAUUUGAUAAUUAAAUUUGAUACUUAAGGACCGUCAAAAAACUCCCCCAAGCUUACCUCUUGCUCGUCCCUGAGCAAGGAUAGACUCAACUAUGGAUCAUAAGUUGUUGCAAUAUCUUUAAAAAAAUUGAUGGUACACAUGCUUUUUAAAUAAGAUCUCAUCUCUGAGUUAGAGCAAACUGUCAAGACUUAAAACUUACUUACUUUACCUUCACCAUGGGACUUGUAACCGUCACUUCUGUCUUGAGUGGUUAAAAGAUAGAACAGUCUAGCCAAGUGCCAUGUCUCUUAUUCUUGAUCAGCUAUAGCUCUGGUGUUUUUUGCAGAUUUUCAAAUAAAACUCAGAAAUUCCUUGUAUGAUUCUCUCAGAUCUCUCUUUUGUGGUAUUUCUGGAUCCUUACCAAGGCAGUGAUGGUACAUGCCUUCUCUCAAGAUAUGUAGUAUUUGUGGUAUGAAGCAUAGUAACAUUGUCUUCUCUCUCACCCUACUCUAAUAAGGCUUUAAUAUCUGGAGCUCAUAGGUGGGAGAUAAAAUAUACAUACUUACAAGACAUGUAUUGUAUAGUCAAACCAUGGAUCCAAAGAAACAAAUCAAUAAGUCAAAUCAAGAUGUGCAUGUGUGGCGAAUAAAUGGUGUAUUGUGAUGAUGGUGAUAACAAUGGUGGAAACAAUGGUGGUGGAAGUCUAAUUCUACUUUGCUCUUUGAGGGGAUACAUACCUUUCUUGCUCUUGAAACUUUAUGAGGAGAAUGAGAUGCUCUUCUUUUUCUUUUCUUUCGAGGUUCCGAGCACUUGCUCCUUUUUAUUUCCUCGUAUCUGUUUUUCUUUUUUUUCUCUUUUUUUUUAUUAGAGCACUCAUCUCUUGAGAUAUUAUAGCAAGUGGUAGUAACAAGAUAACUUGAGCAUUUAUUUCACAAGGGAAAACAGACAUAUUUUUGGUUAUUCUCUCCCGAAUUAGGAGUAGAAUAUUUUUGGGUGAUUCUGGAGAUGGAAAUGGAUGGAUAUAUGUGGAUGGUACUUCCGGAGUAGAAGUAGCAUAUAUGAGUGAACGUGCAAGUGAAAUCUUGAUUUAACCACAUGACAAGCUCCUAAGGGUCUACACAGCUUGACCACACUCAAUGCUCAUAAGCAGUAAAUAGUAAAUGUGUGGCUCAAAGUCCAACAAGCAUGUAUAUAUGGCUGUGGUAGGAAUUUAAACUCUCAUCAUAUAGGAACUCAUCAUGCAACAUUUUAAAGAUUUUCAAAGAUAAAAUUCUCCAGAAUUCUAGCAUCUCUAGGAACAGAUAAACAGCAGCUCAACCUUCCCAUAUCGUAUCCGUUAACAACUUAGACUUCAGAUCAAGUUUUCAUCCCACAAGUUUAGGUCUAGAGCAAGCUUUAAAUUAUAACAGUUAUAUCUAAACUUGAGAGAGAACUUAAAAUGUGCAAAUUAGGCAGAGCAACUAUUCAUCAUAUCCAUGCUUGAGUUUUAUUUAGAUAUAGAUUAGCAUAGCCACUUUAUUUAUUAAACACACUAAGCAAAAGACAAAUAUAUAUAAGCAUAAAAUCUUUAUUUGGUUUUCCAUAGUUAUGUAUAUUUAUAUUCUAAAAUAAUAUAAGUAUAAAGAUAGAUAGAUAGAAAUACUUAUUGUGAUAAAUGGGGGUGCUCUCCCCCAAGCUGAAUUUUGACGUAAUUUCUCUUGAUGUAGCUAGCAGGUGGUAGAGGUGUAUUUGAAAGUCAGCAGCAUUCUGACUGCGAUUAGAAUGUCCUCCGUCUGCUAGUCUUCUUGAUUCUUAAAUUCUGUGGAGCUCAAAUAGACAACAAAGCUUGUGGAACUGGUUAAGUGUUAGCAUAAAUAUCUAGCCUUUAUCAUGUUGAGACUCCUUAAUAAAUAUUACUCCCUGUUUUUUAUAUUUUUGUUUUAUAAAGCAGAAAAGAAAUUUUUAUUUUAUUUUUAUGCCACCACAGUGAAUGUACUUAUGGGUUUUAUGCCACUCGUCUACUCACAUGGGGCUUACAGUUUUUUCACAUUUUUAUUUUCUUUUUAGGAUAGUGUGAACAUGAUUAACUAAGUAAACUAUUUGAAAUAAUUGAAAGGGAAAGGAUAACUACCAAGUUUACCUCUUGGCAAGGCGUUCGGUGUUUUUAAGUCCUCCGAACGGGACUCUCCAUUCUCUUAAUCGUCCUGAGGUUCGUUGGGUGGCGUAGUCGGUACUUCCGGCAGCGCCUCCUCUUCAUGUAUAGUUAUCUUCAUUUUCCAUACCUGACUAGGUGCUUCAAUCUCCUCUGGAUAAUUCGGUUUAGAAUCCACGUCUUCUGAUCUUACAACUUCUCCUUCAUAGUCUGCCCAUCCGUCCUUGAUGAUCUGCCUCCUCUGGUUGCGGUUGCGUCUCUUUCUGACCUGCUUAGAUUCUUCAACGAUAUAGUCAGGGUCAAUAAAAUAACGGCGUACCUUCUCUGAGGGGAAGUGCAUAUGGACUUCUCCGGUUCCAAUGUAGAUAAUUGCUUUAACAGUGCUGAGGAACGGUCUUCCAAGGAUGAUGGGUGGAUCAUACUCGUCUUCUCCCAUGUCAACAACUUGAAAGUCUGUGUAGACAAAGUGAUCGUCAAUUUUGACUGGGACAUCAGUUACUGUUCCUUUGACUUCUCGAAAUGUCUAAUCUGCCAUCUGGAGCUGAAUGUAUGUUGGUCUUAGUGGCAUGGUCCCGAACAAGAGCCGAUAGGUGACUGCGGCCAUUAUGUUGACGCCCGAUCCGGUGUCGCAAAUCGUCUUGUCGAAGCUAUAUCCAUGUAUGGAGCAGUAAAUGCUUGGCAUUCCUAGGUCGUCCUUCUUGGUCAAAAACGGUGACUUAAGUUGAUGAUCUUGGCCUCCAUGAACUACAGUGACCAUCUUAGCUGACUCAGUCCACACUUGCUUGUUCCUGUUUCUCCUGUUGGUCCUCUUCCUUGAUUUAUGUCUGGAUUGAUCUUGAAUUUGUGUAGUCUUGUUCUUGAAGAAAAAUGUCUCCUUCUUCCCUUUGACGUAGAAACUGAUCUUGGCAGCACUAGCGUAGAUGAUAGCUCCCGUGGUGUUCAAGAAUGGCCUCCCUAGGAUGAUAGGUGCUCUCUCAUCAUUUCGGGUCUCUACCACUACGAAGUCUGCUGGGGCAUAUAAGGUACCAACUCGGACACAAAGGUUCUUCACUAAUCCUUUUGGAAAAGUUAUCGUCUGAUCUACAAACUGCAAACACAUGGUUGUCUCUAAUAAAGGAUAUGUAAAGAAUUUUUCAUAGAGUACCCUGGGUAUAAUGUUGACACUGGAGCCAAAGUCGCAGAGUGCUUCUGGAACGUCCACCAUGCCGAUGGAGAUCGGGAUGACGGGGCGUCCUAGAUCGCCUCUCUUGACCGGCAGAAGGUCAGUAGAGAAUUCAUUGACGGGGUUACUCCAAUUACCUGCAUCAAACAUGUCUACAAGAUUUGCAUAUUCUAGUCCUUCCGGUUGUGAUGGUAUACCGGGGUUAGUAGUAGGAACAGCAGCAGCUAUUUGAUUUAACUGGGAUUCAAUCAUUUUAUUAAAGCUAAUUUGAUUCUUGAUGGCAGUAGAGAAAUUAUCCAUUCUAUUAUUUAUAUUUUCUAGCAUUUUAUCAUUAGAUGCCAAUUUCUUAGAUAGGUUAUCCAUUAGCUUUCCUUGAUUAGACACUAACUCUCUCAAAGGUGGAAAAUUAUUAUUAUUGUUGUAAGAACUGUUACCUUGAUAAUUACCUGAGUAGUUAGGUCUCUGUUGAUUCCAACCUUGAUUUUGUUGAGGACGGUUGUAGUAGUAGUUGUUGUUGUUGAUGUAGUUCACAUCCUCAAGCAUCUCAGGGCAGUGGUUGCCUGAGUGUCCAGUGUCUCCACACUCCUCACAAGUCAUGUGAGAGUCGUAGAUGUGCAUAACUUCUUUCUUGUCUCCAGCUCUAUCGUCGAGCUUCUUCAUGAGCAGGUCUAGCUUCGCAGACAACAUGUCUACCUCCUUCAGCUGAUGCAUACCUCCACCUCUCUUGCGUGUUUGGGUCCUCUCUUCAUUCCAGCUUUGGUUGGACGCCAUCUUCUCCACAAGAGCUGUGGCUUGUGGUAUAGUAGGUGAUAAAAAUGCUCCUCCAGCUGCAGCAUCCAUGGUUUCUCGGGCACUGUUGCCGAGCCCGUGAUAAAACGUCUGCAUCAAUAGCCAACUCUCCAUUCCAUGAUGGGGACAUUCUAGGAUGUAGUCUUGAAAGCGCUCCCAUGCUUCUGGAACAGAUUCAUCAUUUUGUUGCUAAAAACUUGUAAUCUUCCCACGGAGAGCAUUGGUCUUGCCCAUGGGAAAGAACUUUGCCAGGAAGUUUGUUGAGCAGAGUGCCCACGUAAUAUUCUUCUCCUUUGUAGCGUAGAACCACUGCUUCGCUCUUCCUAAUAGUGAGAAUGGGAAGAGGCGAAGUAGUAUAGCAUCUUUGGAAACUCCUGAUAUGGUGAAUGUGUUGCAAAUCUCCAGGAAGUGUUGUAAAUGAGCACUAGCAUCUUCGUGUGCCUUCCCACAGAACUGGUUGGAUUGCACCAUGUUGAUAAGUCCAGGCUUGAGCUCAAAGUUGCCGUCGAUCUCUGCAGCAGGUCCAGUACGGAUGUUGUCCGUAGUGGGAGCUGAGAACUCGCGGAUUGAUUUGUUCGCCAUGGCUUCGAACUCUGAAGACAAGUUCCGGUGAUCUUCUUGAUUGGAUGAAGCUUCUUCGUGAAGUGUUGAUGAUUUCUUCUUGGCUCUCGUCUUCUUGAAUAAUGCUUCGGGAUUGUCAACAAAAUUUCCUAGAAGAUGUCUUCUAUUCAUACAUUCCCCUGCAUAAGAUAAAAUAGAAAAAUAUCGGGAUAAAACUGUAUGAGAGAAUAGAUAAGCUCAAUCAUAUUAGUGAUGCAAAUGAUAACUCAAAAUCUUUUAUUCUAUUCCGGAUUAGUAAUCAACCUUCCCCGGCAACGGCGCCAAAAAUGCUUGUUGGGUAUUCUUAACAUCAUUACCAAAAGUAGAUUAAAUUCUCUAAAUCUAGUAACGGUGCCAAAAAUGCCAAACCUAUCCCUCACACCAGUUAAGCCAAGUUGUCAUCCCCAGCAUGAUAUAAGAGACGCGGUAUUGAAAUAUGCAAUUGCUCUUCUAAAUAAAUAAUGAAUGGGAUCUGCAAGCGCACAGAUUAAUACCGAUGCAGCAUUUUAACCGGGAAGUAUUCCAGGUAUCGUUAUUUAUAUUUUUACCACUGGGAAGGGAUUAACAAUCAUCACUAUUGAUUACAGAAUAGAAUAUGAGAUUGAGCAUCUAUCAUUGCAUGUAUAAUUGAGAACAUUAUAUCUAACUGUUCAUACAGGGAUAAGUGUCACAUAAAAGAUAUAUGAAAUAAUAAUAGUGACAAGGAUAACUAAUCUGAUCUAGCCACAUAAUAAAUAUGAUAAGCACCUCAAUUAGAUACUCUAGAAAGUCAUUAGCAUGGUAUUAGAACGAACUACAAGAAUAUUCCCUAAGUUAUUCUUAACUAUAUAGUCUAGCAUAUCAUAGUUAGUGCAAGCAUACUUAGCAAUCAUUGUGAGACAAGACUACACCCAUGCAUAGUGAUAUUAGCAAGGAAUAUGAGAAACAUAGCAAUCACUCCCCUGUAAUAAUGUUGCUCUGCCAGCCCAAUACACGAGAGGGGGACUAUAUAAGAAUCAAUGAAGCUGUCACUAUCACGAACCACCCCACGAUCUGGCAUAUUGGGUACAAUCGCAGAUAAAUACGGUAUAAGCACCACACCUACACAAUAUCUAUCAUUUACCCAUGGAUCCGAUGGACAAACGCUAUACGAUCCUAAGCAUGUAUAUAGAUCCAAUCUAACUAAGACAAGUACAUAACUAUGAUAAACUAAGAGCAAUAUAAUCUUGAAUAUAAGCAAGUAGAGCAAAGUCAUAAGCAAUAUAUUGAAGUAGAACAAAGUCAUAUUCAUAAUAUUGAAGAACAAAGUUAAUUAGAAAGUAAUUAGAAGCACAAUUAGAGAAUUACCAAGAAUCCUCUUGACAGAUCCGGAAACCAAUCGAAGAUUGACUCCAUCUAGUUCUAAUCCUAUGUAGCUAUGCUAAUCUAGAUAUCUAAUUGAUGUGGUGGCUCUAAUCUUGAUCAGAGGCUUCUUCUCCCUUGAUGGAACAAUGAAUUAGGGUUGAGAGUCUCUCUCCUCCAGGGGCCAGGGGGUCUGGUUUUAUAGUCCCUUCAAGUGAAUAUGGGCCGUUGGAUCAAACCGACAUAGAUUGUAUGGUUUAGAUUCAUCCUUUAGGUUGGUGGAGAUCUCCCGCAAAGCAGAGUCCUGAUUGGACUCCUAGAGGGGGCGGGCGCCUAGGGCAGGAGGGCGGGCGCCCUGCCUCUGGCCCCGUUUCGCCUCCGCUUCGGUCUCGUGGCUUCUGGAGUCUUCUAGAUGUAAGAUAAUUGCGCAGCACGUUAAUAUCUUUACGUAAUCCCGACGUGCGGGCCUUUCUUCCGUAUUUCCUGAUAACCCCCUGCAGAAAUAGACAAACACCAAAACUCGUGGAAUUCUGUCAGAUAAAACCCUAAGUCUAGAUGUUGAUUUCAUUUGGAUCCUUUUCUUUAUUUAUUUGAUAAUUAAAUUUGAUACUUAAGGACCGUCAACACUUAGUUUGCUAAAUAAAUAAAUAAAUAAAGUUUGCUAUGAACCCUCAUGAUAAGCUCUCACAUGGAAAUGAUGAAUAGUUGCUCUGCCAUGACUAGUUCUUAAAAUUGAAAUCUCUCUCAAGUUUUGGCAUGACUGUUAUUAAUUAAGAUUUGCUCUAAACCUAAACUUGUGGGAAGAGUACUUGAUCUGAAGUCUAAGUCAUUAACGGAUAUGAUAUGGGAAGGUUGAGCUGCUGUUUAUCUGUUCCUAGAGAUGCUAGAAUUCUGGAGAAUUUUAUCUUUGAAAAUCUUUAAAAUGUUGCAUGAUGAGUUCCUGUAUGAUGAGAGUUUAAAUUCCUACCACAGCCAUAUAUACAUGCUUGUUAGACUAUGAACCACACAUUUACUUUUUAAUGCUUAUGAGCAUUGAGUGUGGUCAAGCUGUGUAGACCCUUAGGAGCUUGUCAUGUGGUUAAAUCAAGAUUCACUUGCACGUUCACUCACACAUGGUACUUCUACUCUAGAAGUACCAUCCAUAUAUAUCCAUCCAUUUCCAUCUCCAGAACCACCCAAAAAUAUUCUACUCCUAAUCCGGGAGAGAAUAGCCAAAAACAUUCUCCUAUUUCUGUUUUUCCCUGUGAAAAAAAAUGCUCAAGUUAUCUUGGUUACUACCACUUGCUAUAUUAUUUUAGGAGAUGAGUGCUCUAAAAAAAGAAAGAAAAACAGAAAGAAUGCGAGGAAAUAAAAGGGGCAAGUGCCCGGAACCUCGAAUGAAAAGAAAAAGUGAGACGAGAGGUAAAAAUGGACAAGUGUCCGACAGUAGAAUUAGGGGUACAAGAUACCCACCUGAGAGAAAAGAAAAAUAAAAUAUAGAGCAUCUCAUUCUCCUCAAAAAGUUUCAAAAGAGCAAGAAAGGUAUGUAUCCCCUCAAAAGAGCAUAAGUAGAAUUAGACUUCCACCAUUGUUAUCACCAUCAUCACCAUACACCAUUCAUUCGCCACACAUGCACAUCUUGAUUUGACUUAUUGACUUGUUCUUCUGGAUCCAUGGUCUGACUAUGCAAUAAAUGUCUUGUAAGUAUGUAUUAGCUGUCUCCCACCUAUGAGCUCCAGAUAUCAAAACCUUAUUAGAGUAGGGUGAGAGAGAAGGCAAUGCCACUAUGCCUCAUACCAAAAAUACCACAUACUUUGAGAGAAGGCAUACACCAUUACUGCCUUGGUAAGGAUCCAGAAAUACCACAAAAGAGAGACUAGAGAAAGUCAUACAAGGAAUCUCUGAGUUUUAUUUGAAAAUCUGCAAAAACUCCAGAGCUAUAGUUGAUCAAGAACAUGAGACAUGGCGCUUGAUUAGACCGUUCUAUCUUUUAACUGCUCAAGACACAAGUGAUGGUUGCAAGCCCCAUGGUGGAAGGUAAUAUGAGUAAAUUUAAAUCUUAACAGUUUACCCUAACCCAAAGAUGAGAUCUUGUUUGAACGCAUAUGUAUCUUUAAGGUAUGAAACCACUGCAGAAACUCUUGAGUCCAUCUUUGCUCAGGGACGAGCAAAGGUUAAGCUUGGGGGAGCUUGUUGACGGUCCUUAAUGCUCAUAUUUAACCAUCAACUAAACAUGGAAAAGGAUCCAAAUGCAACCAACACCUAGACUUAGGGUUUUAUCUGACAGAAUUCUACAAGUUUUGUUGUUUGUCUAUUUCUGCAGGGGGUUAUCAGGAAAUAUGGAAGAAAGGCCCACACGUCCGGUUUACAUAGAGAUAUUAACGUGCCGCACAAUUUUCUAUCAUCUAGUACACUCCAGAAGCCACGGGACCGAACGGGAAGGCAAUCGGGCUCGGAGGCAGGGCGCCCGCCCUACUCUCCUGGGCGCCCGCCCAGCUACAGUGCCCAAUGAGGACUCUCUUUCGGGACAACGCUCCACCGACCUAAAGGAUCAAGGAAAACCGUGCGAUUAAUGUCGGUUUGAUCCGAUGGCCCAGAUUCACUUGAAGGGACUAUAAAACCAGACCCCCUGGCCCCUGGAGAUCAUACCUCUUCUACAGAAUCAAAGCUAGGGUUUCAAUUCUUCAUCCAAGUAGAGAGGAUCCCUCUAGUUCUUCUAGUUCUACCUCUAGUUCAUCUAGAUCUAGUUCUAGUUCAUCUAGUUCUAGUUCUAGUUCCUCUAGUUCUAGUUAUAGUUGUAAUCUAGAAAAUAGGGAGAGAGAAGAGGAGAGCGGAGGAGGAGCCGGAUCUGUCGGAUCUUCCUCAACAUUGUACUUUUUCAGCAUCUGGUUCGUUCUUCAUCAUUCUCCAGGUUCUUCAAUUCAUAACUCCUGAGUUCUCUAAUUACUUUUAUUUACAUUCAAGUUAUUUAUUGGAUUCCCGCUUGCAUCAAGUGCUCUAAUCUUUGAAACAUUAGAGUAGUAAUUAAUAGAUUAGACGUGGUGUUUAGUCUUGCAAUUACCUGGAAUUGCACCCAAUCCUGCGGAUUGUUGUGGUAGCCUUAGGGUAGUGACAGCCCUAAUGGUCGACGUAUUCCACCUCGUUCGGAUCGGUGUUUGUAGGACCGUAGUCGGAGCUUCCUAGCCCCCUUCUCAUCUCUUUCUGUGGUUAGUGUUCUGAUGUCCCGAUAUAGAUAAUCUUGAAGUAAUUCUUGAUUCUUAGAUCAACUAGAGAACUCUCAGGAAACUUCCUCUCUUCCCACCAAAAAUAAUCAUAUAGUUGUCCUUGGGCGAUCUUGGAUCUUAAUUAGUACACUCACGUUCCCAGUGGAAAAUCGAUACUCUGGAAUACUCCCGGGUGAAGGCUACAUCGGUAUUGUUGACGGUCCUUAAGUAUCAAAUUUAAUUAUGAAAUAAACAAAGAAAAGGAUCCAAAUGAAAUCAACAUCUAGACUUAGGGUUUUAUCUGACAGAAUUCCACGAGUUUUGGUGUUUGUCUAUUUCUGCAGGGGGCUAUCAGGAAAUAAGGAAGAAAGGCCCACAUGUCAGAAUUACAUAGAGAUAUUAACGUGCCGCGUAAUUUUCUAUCAUCUAGAAGACUCCAGAAGCUACGAGAACGAACGGGAGGCCGAACGGACCCGGGGGCAGGGCGCCCGCCCACUCCCCUUGGGCGCCCGCCCAGGUGUUUCCACCAAUCACAGAAAGGAGUACACCAUUGGAAAGAUCUCGUCGAGCUGAUCGAAAUGCAUAUAUUAUUUGCUAUAUUUGGAGUUCGGAAUCAAGAGAUAUUAAUAAAAGAAGGACUCCACAUAAAAGAGCUGCGGGAUUAAUUGGGCCCAAAUCAGAUUUUGGUCCAUUAAGGCGUAUGUGCAUUUUAAUGAGAUAUGGUGGAAAGUUUAGUACCACAUCGCCUACCGACCCCAAAAUGCAUAGAAGGGGAGGACUAUAUAAGCAAGGCCCCUGGCCCCUGGAGGAGGGCAAGAAAUUAUCAUAGAGAUUGAGGGGUGCCCUCGAAGGAAAACCUCUUCUCUAAAUAAUAUUUCUUUUUAGGCUUAGCAACCAAUGUAAGGUAGAAAUAGAUCUUCUAGUUUCCACUAGAUUGAGAGAUAUAGAGUGGAGGUGUAGAUUGGAGGAAGCCCGGCCUGUCGGUGUCUACUCCAAGCUUGUACCUGCGGGAUCAAGUUCUCCUAACCCGAAGCUUGCUCCUAGGAUUCUUCAGUAAUUCGACUUCUAAAUUCUAGUAAGUUCUUGUUUUAUUGUUCUUAUGGUUUAUGAGUUUACUUUAAUCUCUUCGCGUAGAGUUUAGAGUAAUCAUUACUGGCGUAAACGUGGUGUUUAGGCUGGGGUACUCAUAGAUAUUCCCUGACUAGCUGGACCGUGGUAGUAGUGAGGAACGUGACAAUUCCGAGUUACCUUUGUAGAUCACAUCUCGUUAGCAGGAAGGAUAGGGUUUAUAGGUGCGGGUCGAACAUCCUUUGUGUUGUCUAGAUUCCGUUAGCCUCCCCAUUAGAACAGUAGAUCAUCCUUACCAAGGUUAGAAGGAGACUACGGUUGCAGUCUUCUCUAUUUAUCACUCACAUCGAAAGACAUUCUUUGUGCCUAAAGGGAUAGUAGCAAUAGAUUUGGUUAGUCAGAUGCACCCUUUCUCCCAGUGGUAAAAAUAUAAAUACGAUAACUCUGGAUAAUCUCCCGGGUGAAAUGCUCACCGAUAUCCGUGCGCUUGCGGAUCAAUUCCUUAUUGCGUUCCCAAAUAUCAACAAGCAUUUCUGGCGCCGUUGCCGGGGAGAAAGACGGUUUGCUGAGAUAACUUUGAGUCUUGCUAUUAUCUUGUAUUAUACUUUUAUACUUUUAUUGUUUUAUCUUUUUAUUUUUAUGGAUAACUCAAAUUCCAUACCUAUUAUUAAAUUCUUUGCACCUUCGGAAACCAGCCAUAGACCAUGGGAGUCAACACGUCCUGCCCCUAAUUAUGAUGUGUGUCCGGAGUUGAUUGCAAUAGGUCAAAACCAACCCUUUUCUAUAGCUGAGGUCCUAUCUUUUAAUCAAGAAGAUAAUGCACUUUUAGCCACACCUAGGGAAUCUGUUAAUCUUUCUAUAAAUUCUGGUUUAGACCUAGCCCUACAAGACCAUGUUUUUCCUAGAUAUUUUCACAUUGGUCUUAAUCAUAUAACCUUUGGUAGAGUCCUUCUUUCUUUAUCUAUUAGUAAAUGAAGGUAUGUCUUCAUUUGUGGACAUCCUUCUUGUACUAGUCUUCAUAGAAUAAUCUUAGAGAUAGAGAAGGAAUCAUCUCCCAGACGAGGAAAGGAAGUUUCAAUAGCCGAUUUCCAAACAUUUCAAUCCCUUAAUUCGGCUAUCCAUCCCAUCCUUGAGCUUAAUAAUUUCUACUAUGCUCUUUCUCUUGAACCUCCCGAUAAUCCUAUGAACCUCUCUAGACAUCCCAUGCAUAAGAAGGAGGAUCGAGAAGAGCAACAUCAAUGGCUAGAGGGCAUUAAAAAUCCAUGUGCUAUCACCAUUGAAUGGUUAGAUAAAACAAACUUGAGAGACAAUCCUAGAGGAAUUUUAAGCAUUCAUGAAGAAUCAUCGUUGGAGUUUAAGAAUGAGAGAAACAACAGUGAGCAUGGAAGUUAUUUCAUAAAUAUCUCACCCAGUCCUUGCUCAUAUAAAACAUCUCUCCAAUCAAUUUGUCUCUCCAUCCUUACCACAUUUGAGAUCUCCAACCCCCUCUUCCUCUUCAUUUAUAAAAACUUUAAAAGGGCGGUUGUCGAUGCAUAUGUCUAUAAUAAAUAUUGCAGAUCUCGUUGAGUUGAUCUUGAUAUAGGUAGGUGUUGGAGGGGAAACCACUUCACCAACAUUACUUGAUGGUUUCCCAAGGACAUGCUUAGUGUCCUAAAACAAGCACUUAUCAGAUCAUAACAUGAACUUCUAAUUAUUUGCAACAUUGCCUUGUGUAUUGAGCAUAUAAAGAUAAUUGUAGAAAUAUUCCUUCGGGUAUUCUUGUCACUAACCUUUCCAGGAUUGGAGCAAGAAGAUCGGAUGAAUGACAAGCACAGGGUAUGUCCAACCAACCAUCACACAAUAUUGAAUUAAAUUCAUCCAAACUUGAAUUUUGUAAAAUUCAAGCUUGGGGGAGUACUUUACAUAAAAACAUCUUUUGCCAUGUUGCUACGUUGGUUGUCCUUACCUUUGAGACAUGCUCAAUUUGUUAAAUACUAAUUACACUACUUCAUCUCCGCUUAAGUAGAUCUCUAUAAAUGCUCUCAUGCUACCUUUAUUUGCUUUAGUAUAUGUCUAGGUUUGGAAUAGUUUCAUUUAUCUCUUAAUUAAGGAUGGUGCUUAGUUUAGGAAUGAUGAUCUUACUUCCAAGGGGUUUUAAAUUAAGCAUGGUGCUUAGGUUAAAAUGCCCUUCUAAAUCAAAUUAGACAUGGUGUCUAGGUUGAUUUUUAAGCCGAUAGUAUGCUAUAGUAGAUAUGGGAUAUUUUGUUGGACUAACCCCUACAGAAAAACUUUCAAUAUCAACCUGGGAAGUCCUGAGAUAAAUUCGCAUUGGAGAUGAAGAAAGUGAUACAUGAAGUUUAACAAUUUGCACAAGAAAGACGUGGCUCAUAAGAGAUGAUUCAUGGAGGGUGUCACAAACACGAUGCACAACCGCUAAGAAAGGAAAGCUUCCACAAGGUGAUACUGUACCGUCACUCUUCAAGUAAGGUAACACCUUAAGGUACUUAACUAUCGCUUUUAUAAGCUUCUCCUUGGUUCUAGCAUUCACAUAAAUAAAGAGACAAACAUGUAUGAUUUAUAACUCCAGAUUAACCAACUCAAUUAAAUCAACAUGUUUAGUCCUUUAAUCUUUGUUCUUAGUACUACCUUCGUGAUCCCACGCUCCUAAACAUAUAAGCUAAUAUGUUGCACAUUCAAUAUUUGGAAGAUAUAAAUAAAACAUAAAUAUAGAUAGAUUAUCUUUCCAUUAGGUUGAGCCAUCUGAUCUGACAAAUGUUUCAAAUACUACACUCAUGAUCUUAUUAUCCAUCAACUUUGUCUUGCUCACUAUGCUUAAGGUUAGAGAAGAACAAAUACACUUUUGGUUCUGUUGGUGUUUUCCACCAACAGAGCCCAUGCACUUGAUCUCUGCCUUGUCCCUAUGAACAGGUACACUUCAAGCAAAACAUGGAGGAGUUUCACAACUCCAAGACUCCACCAAGUGAAGGACCUGGAUCUAUGAGCACAAACUCACUGAGCAGGAUAUUGCCAACACCAUACUUCGAACUACUGGGCAAAAAAGAACAUGGGUGACACCGUAUCAAGAGGUGUAGACGUCAAGGUCCACACCUAAUCAAAUGAUGCACCUAAAGGAUGAAGAUGGUGGAAAGUCUUGUCCAAAAGACUUAAAACAUUGGAUCCUUGUCGGAAGAGGUCAACAUCGUCGACUCAGGUCACCUUUCUUGAUCAAGAAGGACGACCCUGGUGUUCCAAGCAUCGAGUGCGCAAUCAAUGGAUACUCUUUUCAGAAGACACUCUACGACACCGGAUCUGACGACAACAUAAUGGCCGCAGUCACUUAUCAGCUCCUGCAUGGAACCAUGCCCCUACAACCAAUAUAUUCAGCUCCAGAUGAUUUUCAGGUCAUUGACAUGGGAGAAGACGAGUAUGAUCCACCCACCAUCCUUGGAAGACUGUUCCUCAGCACUAUCAAAGCCAUUAUCUAUAUUGGAACCAGAGAAGUCCACAUGCACUUCCCCUCUGAGAAGGUACGCCACUACUUUAAUGAUUCUAACUAUAUAGUUGAAGACUCUAAGCAGGUCAGGACAAGAAGACGACGCAACCGCAACCAGAGGAGGAAAAUCAUCAAGAACGGAUGGGUAGACUACGAUGGAAAAGUGAUAAGGACUGAAGACAUACAGCUUGAACAGAACUGUCCUGAGGAGACCGUAGCACCGAGUCAGGUGUGGAGGGAGAAGAUAGUUAUACACGAAGAGAGGCGCCACCGGAAUCACCGACUACGCCACCUAGCGAAUCCCAGGAUGACUGAGAAAACAGAGAGUCCCGUUCGGAGGACUUAAAAAUACCGAACGUCUUGCCAAAAGGUAAACUUGGUAGUUACCUUUUCCUUUCAAUUAUUCAAUUAUAAUUUGCUUAGUUAAUCAGGUUCAUGCUAUCUUGAAAAGAAAAUAAAAAUGUUAAAUAGUAAGCCCCAUGUGAGUAUGCUCAUGGCAUAAAACCCAUAAGUACAUUCACUGUGGUGGCAUAAAAAUAAAAUAAAUAAGUUUUCAUCUUACAAUAAAAAUAUAAAAUAAUAAUAAUAAUAAUAAGUGUAUGAUCCUGCUAAAUAAAUAACAUUUAUUAAGGAAGCUCAACAUGAUGAAGGCUAGAUAUUUAUGCUAACACUUAAUUAGUUCCACAAGCUUUGUUGUCUAUUUGAGCUCCACAGAAUUUAAGAAUCAAGAAGACUAGCAGACGGAGGACAUUCUAAUCGCUGUCAGAAUGCUGCUGACUUUCAAAUACACCUCUGCCACCUGCUAGCUACAUCAAGAGAAAUUACGUUAAAAUUCAGCUUGGGGGAGAGCACCCUCAUUAUUCUCGCUAAGUAUUUCUACCUAUCUUUAUACUUAUAUUAUGUUAGAAUAUUAAAAUACAUAAACUAUGAAAAAACAAAAUAAAGAUUUUGUGCUUAUAUAUAUCUUUUGCUUAGUAUGUUUAAUAAAUAAAUAAAGUGGCUAUACUAAUCUGAAUUUUAAUAAUAAAACUCUAGCACGGAUAUGAUGAAUAGUUGCUGUGCCUAAUUUGCAAUUUUCGAGUUCCCUCUCAAGUUUAGACAUAACUGUUAUAAUUUAAAGCUUGCUCUAGAUCUAAACUUGUGGGAUGAAAACUUGAUCUGAAAUCUAAGUUGUUAACGGAUAUGAUAUGGGAAGGUUGAGCUGCUGUUUAUCUGUUCCUAGAGAUGCUAGAAUUCUGGAGAAUUUUAUCUUUGAAAAUCUUUGAAAUGUUGCAUGAUGAGUUCCUGUAUGAUGAGAGUUUAAAUUCCUACCACAGCCAUAUAUACAUGCUUGCUAGACUUUGAGCCACACAUUUACUAUUUACUGCUUAUGAGCAUUGAGUGUGGUCAAGCUGUGUAGACCCUUAGGAGCUUGUCAUGUGGUUAAAUCAAGAUUCACUUGCACGUUCACUCAUAUAUGCUACUUCUACUCCGGAAGUACCAUCCACAUAUAUCCAUCCAUUUCCAUCUCCAGAAUCACCCAAAAAUAUUCUACUCCUAAUCCGGGAGAGAAUAGUCAAAAAUAUUUUCCUAUCCCUGUUAUUCCCUAUGAAAUAAAUGCUCCAAAUAUUUUGGUUACUACCACUUGCUAUAUUAUCUCAAGAGAUGAGUGCUCUGAAAAAAAAGAGAAAAAAAAGAAAAAAAAUAUAUAAACGAAGAAAUAAAAAGGGGCAAGUGCCCGGAACCUCGAAAGAAAGAAAAAGUGAGACGAGAGGUAAAAAUGGACAAGUGUCCGACAGUAGAAAUAGGGGUACAGGAUACCCACCUGAGAGGAAAGAAAAAGAAGAGCAUCUCAUUCUCCUCAUAAAGUUUCAAAAAGCAAGGAAGGUAUGUAUCCCCUCAAAAGAGCAAAAGUAGAAUUAGACUUUCACCAUUGUUGUUACCAUCAUCACCAUACACCAUUCAUUCGCCACACAUGCACAUCUUGAUUUGGCUUAUUGAUUUGUUUCUCUGGAUCCAUAGUUUGACUAUGCAAUAAAUGUCUUGUAAGUAUGUAUUAGCUGUCUCCCACCUAUAAGCUCCAGAUAUCAAGCCUUAUUAGAGUAGGGUGAGAGAGAAGGCAAUGUCACUAUGCCUUAUACCAUAAAUACCACAUAUCUUGAGAGAAGGCAUAUACCAUCAAUGCCUUGGUAAGGAUCCAGAAAUACCACAAAAGAGAGAUAUGAGAGAGUCAUACAAGGAAUCUCUGAGUUUUAUUUGAAAAUCUGCAAAAAACCCCAGAGCUAUAGCUGAUCAAGAAUAAGAGACAUGGCACUUGGCUAGACUGUUCUAUCUUUUAACCUCUCAAGACAGAAGUGACGGUUACAAGUCCCAUGGUGAAGGUAAAGUAAGUUUUAAGUCUUGACAGUUUACUCUAACUCAGAGAUGAGAUCUAAUUUAAAAAGCAUGUGUACCGUCAAUUUUUAAGAUAUUGCAACAACUUCUGGUCCAUAGCUAAGUCUAUCCUUGCUCAGGGACGAUCAAGAGGUAAGCUUGGGGGAGCUUGUUGACGGUCCUUAAGUAUCAAAUUUAAUUAUGAAAUAAACAAAGAAAAGGAUCCAAAUGAAAUCAACAUCUAGACUUAGGGUUUUAUCUGACAGAAUUCCACGAGUUUUGGUGUUUGUCUAUUUCUGCAGGGGGCUAUCAGGAAAUAAGGAAGAAAGGCCCACAUGUCAGGAUUACAUAGAGAUAUUAACGUGCCGCGUAAUUUUCUAUCAUCUAGAAGACUCCAGAAGCUACGGGAACGAACGGGAGGCCGAACGGACCCGGGGGCAGGGCGCCCGCCCACUCCCCUUGGGCGCCCGCCCAGUUGUUUCCACCAAUCACAGAAAGGAGUACACCAUUGGAAAGAUCUCGUCGAGCUAAUCGAAAUGCAUAUAUUAUUUGCUAUAUUUGGAGUUCGGAAUCAAGAAAUAUUAAUAAAAGAAGGACUCCACAUAAAAGAGCUGCGGGAUUAAUUGGGCCCAAAUCAUAUUUUGGUCCAUUAAGGCCUAUGUGCAUUUUAAUAAGAUAUGGUGGAAAGUUUAGUACCACAUCGCCUACCGACCCCAAAACGCAUAGAAGGGGAGGACUAUAUAAGCAAGGCCCCUGGCCCCUGGAGGAGGACAAGAAAUUAUCAUAGAGAUUGAGGGGUGCCCUCGAAGGAAAACCUCUUCUCUAAUUAAUAUUUCUUUUUAGGCUUAGCAACCAAUGUAAGGUAGAAAUAGAUCUUCUAGUUUCUACUAGAUUGAGAGAUAUAGAGUGGAGGUGUAGAUUGGAGGAAGCCCGGCCUGUCGGUGUCUACUCCAUGCUUGUACCUGCGGGAUCAAGUUCUCCUAACCCGAAGCUUGCUCCUAGGAUUCUUCAGUAAUUCGACUUCUAAAUUCUAGUAAGUUCUUGUUUUAUUGUUCUUAUGGUUUAUGAGUUUACUUUAAUCUCUUCGCGUAGAGUUUAGAGUAAUCAUUACUGGCGUAAACGUGGUGUUUAGGCUGGGGUACUCAUAGAUAUUCCCUGACUAGCUGGACCGUGGUAGUAGUGAGGAACGUGACAAUUCCGAGUUACCUUUGUAGAUCACAUCUCGUUAGCAGGAAGGAUAGGGUUUAUAGGUGCGGGUCGAACAUCCUUUGUGUUGUCUAGAUUCCGUUAGCCUCCCCAUUAGAACAGUAGAUCAUCCUUACCAAGGUUAGAAGGAGACUACGGUUGCAGUCUUCUCUAUUUAUCACUCACAUCGAAAGACAUUCUUUGUGCCUAAAGAGAUAGUAGCAAUAGAUUUGGUUAGUCAGAUGCACCCUUUCUCCCAGUGGUAAAAAUAUAAAUACGAUAACUCUGGAUAAUCUCCCGGGUGAAAUGCUCACCGAUAUCCGUGCGCUUGCGGAUCAAUUCCUUAUUGCGUUCCCAAAUAUCAACAGGUAUCCGUGCGCUUACGGAUUUUACUGUUUGCGUUUAAAAUACCCAACAAGCUUUCGGGCGGCAACGGCGCCAGAAAGCUUGUUGGGUAUUUUAAACGCAAAUAGAAAAAUCCGCAAGCGCACGGAUACCGAUGUAGCCUUCACCCGGGAGUAUUCCAGAGUAUGGAUUUUUCACAGGGAACGUGAGUGUACUAAUUAAGAUUCAAGAUCGCCUAAGGAUAACUAUAUAAUUGUUUUUGGUGGGAAGAGAGGAAGUUUCCUGAGAGUUCUCUAGUUGAUCUAAGAAUCAAGAAUUACUUCAAAGAUUAUCUAUUUCGGGACAUCAGAGCACUAACCACAGAAAGAGAUGAGAAGGGGGCUAGGAAGGUCUGACUACGGUCCUACAAACACCGAUCCGAACGAGGUGGAAUACGUCGACCGUUAGGGCUGUCACUACCCUAAGGCUACCACAACAAUCUGCAGGAUUGGGUGCAAUUCCAGGUAAUUACAAAAAUAAACACCACGUCUAAUCUAUUAAUUACUACUCUAGCGUUAUAAAGACUAGAGCACUGGAUGCAAGCGAGAAUCCAAUAAAUAACUUGAAUGUAAAUAAAAGUAAUUAAAGAACUCAGGAAUUAUGAAUUGAAGAACCUGGAGAACGAUGAAGAACGAACCAGUUGCUGCAAAAGUACAAUGUUGAGGAAGAUCUGACAGAUACGGCUCCUCCUCCGCUCUCCUCUUCUCUCUCCCUAUUUUUUAGAUUACAACUAGAACUAACUAGAACUAGAACUAGAGGAACUAGAACUAGAACUAGAUGAACUAGAACUAGAUCUAGAUGAACUAGAGGUAGAACUAGAAGAACUAGAGGGAUCCUCUCUACUUGGAUGAAGAAUUGAAACCCUAACUUUGAUUCUGUAGAAGAGGUAUCAUCUCCAGGGGCCAGGGGCCUUGCUUAUAUAGUCUUUUCAGAUGAAUCUGGGCCCUCGGAUCAAACCGACAUUACUCGCACGGUUUUCCUUGAUCCUUUAGGUCGGUGGAGCAUAAUCCGCGAAACGUCUCCUGAUUGGGCACUGUAGCACAGCGGGCACCCAAGGGGGGAGGGCGGGCGCCCUGCCCUCGGGCCCGAUCGGCCUCCCGUUCGUUCCCGUGGCUUCUGGAGUCUUCUAGAUGGUAGAAAAUUGCACGACACGUUAAUAUCUCUAUGUAAACCCGACGUGUGGGCCUUUCUUCCGUAUUUCCUGAUAACCCCCUACAGAAAUAGACAAACACCAAAACUUGUGGAAUUCUGUCAGAUAAAACCCUAAGUCUAGGUGUUGGUUGCAUUUGGAUCCUUUUCCAUGAUUAGUUGAUGGUUAAAUAUGAGCAUUAAGGACCGUCAACAAGCUCCCCCAAGCUUAACCUUUGCUCGUCCCUGAGCAAAGAUGAACUCAAGAGUUUCUGCAGUGGUUUCAUGCCUUAAAGUUAUACAUGCAUUCAAACAAGAUCUCAUCUCUGGGUUAGGGUAAUUGUUAGGAUUUAAACUUACCCAUAUUACCUUUCACCAUGGGGCUUGCAACCGUCACUUUUGUCUUGAGCAGUUAAAGGAUAGAACGGUUUAGUCAAUCGCCAUGUCUCUUGUUCUUCGAUUAACUAUAGCACUGGAGUUUUUGUAGAUUUUCAAAUAAAACUUAGAGAUUCCUUGUAUGACUCUCUCUAGUCUCUCUUUUAUGGUAUUUCUGGAUCCUUACCAAGGCAGUAAUGGUGUAUGCCUUCUCUCAAAGUAUAUGGUAUUUUUGGUAUGAGGCAUAGUGAUAUUGCCUUCUCUCUCUCCCUACUCUAAUAAGGUUUUUGAUAACUGGAGCUCAUAGGUGGGAGACAGCUAAUACAUACUUACAGGAGAGUAGGGCGGGCGCCCUGCCUCCGAGCCCGAUUGCCUUCCCGUUCGGUCCCGUGGCUUCUGGAGUCUUCUAGAUGAUAGAAAAUUGUGCGGCAUGUUAAUAUCUCUAUGUAAACCUGACGUGUGGGCUUUUCUUCCGUAUUUCCUGAUAACCCCCUGCAGAAAUAGACAAACACCAAAACUUGUGGAAUUCUGUCAGAUAAAACCCUAAGUCUAGGUGUUGGUUGCAUUUGGAUCCUUUUCCAUGAUUAGUUGAUGGUUAAAUAUGAGCAUUAAGGACCGUCAACAAGCUCCCCCAAGCUUAACCUUUGCUCGUCCCUGAGCAAAGAUGGACUCAAGAGUUUCUACAGUGGUUUCAUACCUUAAAGAUACAUAUGCGUUCAAACAAGAUCUCAUCUUUGGGUUAGGGUAAACUGUUAAGAUUUAAAUUUACUCAUAUUACCUUCCACCAUGGGGCUUGCAACCGUCACUUGUGUCUUGAGUAGUUAAAAGAUAGAACGGUCUAAUCAAGCGCCAUGUCUCAUGUUCUUGAUCAACUAUAGCUCUAGAGUUUUUGCAGAUUUUUAAAUAAAACUCAGAGAUUCCUUGUAUGACUUUCUCUAGUCUCUCUUUUGUGGUAUUUCUGGAUCCUUACCAAGGCAGUGAUGGUAUACGCCUUCUCUCAAAAUCUGUAGUAUUUAUGGUAUAAAGCAUAGUGGCAUUGCCUUUUCUCUCACCCUACUCUAAUAAGGCUUUAAUAUCUGGAGCUCAUAGGUGGGAGAUAAAGUAUACAUACUUACAAGACAUGUAUUGUAUAGUCAAACCAUGGAUCCAAAGAAACAAAUCAAUAAGUCAAAUCAAGAUGUGCCUGUGUGGCGAAUGAAUGGUGUAUGGUGAUGAUGGUGAUAACAAUGGUGAAAGUCUAAUUCUACAUGUGCUCUUUUGAGGGGAUACAUACCUUUCUUGCUCUUUUGAAACUUUCAGGGAGAAUGAGAUGCUCUAUAUUUUCUUUUUCUUUUCUCUCAAACGGGUAUCUUGUACCCCUAAUUCUACUGUCGGACACUUGUCCAUUUUUACCUCUCGUCUCACUUUUUUCUUUUCUUUCGAGGUUCCGGGCACUUGCCCCUUUUUAUUUCCUCGUAUCUUUCUUUUUUUUUCUUUUUUUAGAGCACUCAUCUCUUGAAAUAAUGUAGCACGUGGUAGUAACAAGAUAACUUGAGCAUUUAUUUCACAAGGGAAAACAGAAAUGUUUUUGGCUAUUCUAUCCCUGAUUAGGAGUAAAAUAUUUUUGGGUGGUUCCGGAGAUGGAAAUGGAUGGAUAUAUGUGGAUGCGUACUUCCGGAGUAGAAGCAGCAUGUAUGAGUGAACGUGCAAGUGAAUCUUGAUUUUAACCACAUGACAAGCUCCUAAGGGUCUACACAGCUUGACCACACUCAAUGCUCAUAAGCAGUAAAAAGUAAAUGUGUGGCUCAAAGUCUAGGAAGCAUGUAUAUCUGGCUGUGGUAGGAAUUUAAACUCUCAUCAUACAGGAACUCAUCAUGCAACAUUUUAAAGAUUUUCAAAGAUAAAAUUCUCUAGAAUUCUAGCAUCUCUAGGAACAGAUAAACAGCACUCAACCUUCCCAUAUCAUAUCCGUUAACGACUUAGACUUCAGAUCAAGUACUCUUCCCACAAGUUUAGGUUUAGAGCAAAUCUUAAUUAAUAACAGUCAUGCCUAAACUUGAGAGAGAUUUCAAUUUUAAGAACUAGUCAUGGCAGAGCAACUAUUCAUCAUUUCCAUGUGAGAGCUUAUCAUGAGGGUUCAAAGCAAACUUUAUUUAUUUAUUUAUUUAGCAAACUAAGCAAAGAUAUAUAUAAGCACAAAAUCUUUAUUUGGGUUCUUAUGAUUAUGCAUUAUUUUAUUAUCAGAGUAAAGUAUAAACGUGAGUAGAAUACUUAGCUGGAUAAAUGGGGGUGCUCUCCCCCAAGCUAGAUUUUGACGUAAUUUCUUCUCAUGUAGCUAGCAGGUGGUGGAGGUGUAUUUGAAUGUCUGCAGCACCUUGGCAGCGAUUAGGAUGUCCUCCGUCAGCUGGUCUUCUUUGAUCCUUGAAUUCUGUGGAGCUCAAAUAGACAACAAAGCUUUGUGGAACUAGUUAAGUGUUAGCAUAAAUAUCUAGCCUUUAUUAUGUUGAGCCUCCUCAAUAAAUGUUACUCUCUUUAGUAGGAUCAUAAAUUUAUUUUUAUAAUUUUAUUUUUAUAGGAUAGGAAUAUAUUUAUUUCAUAUUUUAUGCCACCACAGUGAAUGUACUUAUGGGUUUUAUGCCAUGAGCAUACUCACAUGGGGCUUACUAUUUUUUAACAUUUUUAUUUUCUUUUCAAGAUGAUAUGAACCUGAUUAACUAAGCAAACUAUUUUAAAUAAUUGAAAGGAGAAAGAUAACUACCAAGUUUACCUCUUGGCAAGGCGUUCGGUGUUUUUAAGUCCUCCGAACGGGACUCUCCGUUUCUUGAGUCAUUUUGGGAUUCGCUGGAUGGCGUAAUCGGUGGUUCCGACGGUGCUUCCUCUUCGUGUAUAACUAUCUUCUCUUUCCACACCUGACUCAGUGCUACGGUCUCCUCAGGAUAGUUCUGUUCAAGUUGUAUGUCUUCAGACCUUACAACUUCUCCUUCAUAGUCUACCCAUCCGUCCUUGAUGAUUUGCCUCCUCUGGUUGUGGUUGCGUCGUCGUCUUCUUGUCCUGACCUGCUUAGAGUCUUCAACUAUAUAGUUAGGGUCAGUAAAACAGUGGCGUACCUUCUCUGAGGGGAAGUGUAUGUGGACUUCUCUAGUUCCAAUGUAUAUGAUUGCUUUAAUGGUGCUAAAGAACGGUCUUCCAAGGAUGAUGGGUGGAUCGUACUCGUCUUCUGCCAUGUCAAUAACCUUCAAUCUUUCAGAAUGUCUGAUCUGCCAUCUGGAGCUGAAUGUAUGUUGGUUGUAGGGACAUGGUUCCAUGCAGGAGCUGAUAAGUGACUGCGGCCAUUAUGUUGAUGUUAGAUCUGGUGUCGUAGAGUGUCUUCUGAAAAGAAUAUCCGUUGAUUGUGGACUCGAUGCUUGGGACACCAGGGUCGUCCUUCUUGAUCAAGAAAGGUGACUUGAGUUGACGAUCUUGACCUCCUUGAGCUGCAGUGACCAUCUUAGCUGACUCGGUACACAUUUGCUUGUUCUUGUUCCUCCUGUUGGUCCUCUUCCUUGGUUCAUGUCGGGAUUGCUCUGGGAUUUGUGUAGUCUUGUUUCUUGAAGGAAAACGUCUCCUUCUUCCCCUUGAUGUAGAAACUGAUCUUGGCAGCACUAGCGUAGAUGACAGCUCCCGAGGUGUUCAGGAAUGGCUUCCCCUAGGUAUAAUGUUGACGCUGGAGCCAAAGUCGCAGAGUGCUUCUAGGAAGUCCACCAUGCCGAUGGAGAUUGGGAUGACGGGGCAUCCUAGAUUGUCUCUCUUGACCGGCAGAAGGUCACUAAUUACUUCCACAAUGGUGUUACUCUAGUAGUUACAUCCUCAAGCAUCUCAGGGCAGUGUUUGCAUGAGUGUCCAGUAUCUCCAGCGUGUUUGUGCUCAUAGAUCUAGGUUCUUCACUUUGGUGGAGUCUGGGAGUUGUAAAACUCCAUCAUAUUUUGCUCAAAGUGUACCUACUCAUAGAGACAAGGCAGAGAUCAAGUGUAUGGGCCCUGUUGGUGGAAAACACCAACAGAACCAAAAGUGUAUUUGUUCUUCUCUAACCUCAAGCAUAGUGAGCAAGACAAAGUUGAUGGAUAAUAAAAUCAAGAGUGUAGUAUUUAACAUUUGUCAGAUUAGAUUGCUCAACCUUAUGGAAAGAUAAUCUAUCUAUAUAUAUGUUUUGUUUAUAUCUUCCAAAGAUUGAGUGUGCAACAUUUUAGUUCAUAUGAUUAGGAGUAUGAGAUCACAAAGGUGGAAGGACUAAACAUAUUGAAUCGAUUGGGUUGGUUAAUCUAGAAUUGUAAAUCAUACAUGUUUGUCUCUUUUAUUCAUGUGAACGCCAGAACCAAGGAGAAACUUAUAAAAGUGAUAGACAAGUACCUUAAGAUGUUACCUCACUUGAAGAGUGAUGGUACAGUAUCACCUUGUGGAAGCUUUCCUUUCUUAGCGGUUGUGCAUCAUGUUUGUGGCACCCUCCAUAGAUCAUCUCUUGUGAGCUAUGCCUUCCUUGUGUAAAUUGUUAAACUUCAUGUGUCUCUCUCUUUGUCUCCAAUGUGAAUUUAUCUCAAGACUUCCCAGGUCGAUAUUGAAAGUUUUCCUGUAGGGGUUAGUCCAAUAAAAUAUCCAAUAUCUACUAUAGCAUACUAUCGGCUCAAAAAUCAACCUAGACACCAUGUCUAAUCUGAUUUAGGAGGGCAUUUUAACCUAAGCAUCAUGCUUAAUUUAAAAUCCCUUGGAAGUAAGAUCAUCAUUCCUAAAUUAAGCACCAUGCUUAAUUAAAAGAUAAAUGAAACUACUCCAAACCUAGACAUAUACUAAAGCAAAUAAAGGUGGUAUGAGAGCAUUUAUAGAGAUCUACUCAAGUGGAGAUGAAGUAGUGUGAUUAGUAUUUAACAAAUUGAGCAUGUUUCAAAGGUAGGGACAACCAACAUAGCAACAUGGUAAAGGAUGUUUUAUGUAAAGUACUCCCCCAAACUUGAAUUUUUGCAAAAUUCAAGUUUGGAUGAAUUUAAUUCAAUGUUGUAUGAUGAUUGGUUGUACAUACCUUGUGCUUGUCAUUCAUCCGAUCUUCUUGCUCCAAUCCUGGAAAGGUUAGUGACAAGAAUAGCCGAAGGAAUUUUUUUACAAUUAUCCUUAUAUGCUCAAUACACAAGGUAAUGUUGCAAAUAAUUAAAAGCUCAUGUUACGAUCUGAUCAGUGCUUGUUUUAGGACACUAAGCUUGUCCUUGGGAAACCAUCAAUUUGUAUCUGCGAAGUGGUUUCCCCUCCAACGCUGACCUAUAUCAAGAUCAACUCAACGAGAUCUGCAAUAUUUAAUAUAGACAUAUGCAUCGACAACCGCCCUUUUAAAGUUUUUAUAAAUAGAAAGGAUGAGGGGGUUGGAGAUCUCGAAUGUGGUGAUGUUGGAGAGACCAAUGGAUUGUGAAGAUGUUGCAUAUGAGCAUGGAGUAAAUGAAGUGGCUAUGAAAUAAAUUCCAUGCUCAUUAAUGCUUAGAGAGAAAUCCAUGUGGUGUGGUGAAAAUGGUAAGGUGAAUGUGGUAAAAAAGGGAAAGAAAAAGGAUACACGCACGACUUGGUUCGAAACUAGCACAGCUACCGUUCCCCGGCAACGGCGCCAGAAAGCUUGUUGGGUAUUUUAAACGCAAACAGAAAAAUCCGCAAGCGCACGGAUACCGAUGUAGCUUUCACCCGGGAGUAUUCUAGAGUAUCGAUUUUGCACAGAGAACGUGAGUGUACUAAUUAAGAUCCAAGAUCGCCCAAGGAUAACUAUAUAAUUAUUUUUGGUGGGAAGAGAGGAAGUUUCCUGAGAGUUCUCUAGUGAUCUAAGAAUCAAGAAUUACUUCAAAGAUUAUUUAUAUCGGGACAUCAGAACACUAACCACAGAAAGAGAUGAGAAGGGGGCUAGGAAGCUCCGACAACGGUCCUACAAACACCGAUCCGAACGAGGUGGAAUACGUCGACCGUUAGGGCUGUCACUACCCUAAGGCUACCACAACAAUCCGCAGGAUUGGGUGCAAUUCCAGGUAAUUGCAAGACUAAACACCACGUCUAAUCUAUUAAUUACUACUCUAGCGUUUCAAAGACUAGAGCACUUGAUGCAAGCGGGAAUCCAAUAAAUAACUUGAAUGUAAAUAAAAGUAAUUAGAGAACUCAGGAAUUAUGAAUUGAAGAACCUGGAGAACGAUGAAGGACGAACUAGUUGCUGCAAAAGUACAAUGUUGACGAAGAUCCGACAGCCCCGGCUCCUCCUCCGCUCUCCUCUUCUCUCUCCCUAUUUUCUAGAUUACAACUAGAACUAACUAGAACUAGAACUAGAGGAACUAGAACUAGAACUAGAUGAACUAGAAUUAGAUCUAGAGGAACUAGAGGUAGAACUAGAAGAACUAGAGGGAUCCUCUCUACUUGGAUAAAGACUUGAAACCCUAACUUUGAUUCUGUAGAAGAGGUAUGAUCUCCAGGGGCAGGGGGGUUUGGUUUUAUAGUCCCUUCAAGUGAAUCUGGGCCGUCGGAUCAAACCGACAUUGAUCGUGUGGUUUUCCUUGAAGUAUUAGGUCGGUGCAGCAUUGUCCGCGAAACGUGUCCUGAUUGGGCACUGUAGCUGGGCGGGCGCCCUGGCUCCGAGCCCGAUUUCCUUCCCGUUUGUUCCCGUGGCUUCUGGAGUCUUCUAGAUGAUAGAAAAUUGCGCGACACGUUAAUAUCUCUAUGUAAACCCGACGUGUGGGCCUUUCUUUCAUAUUUCCUGAUAACCCCCUGCAGAAAUAGACAAACACCAAAACUCAUGGAAUUUUGUCAGAUAAAACCCUAAGUCUAGGUGUUGGUUGGAUUUGGAUCCUUUUCCAUGAUUAGUUGAUGGUUAAAUGUGAGCAUUAAGGACCGUCAACAAGCUCCCCCAAGCUUAACCUUUGCUCGUCCCUGAGCAAAGCUAAAAUCAUCAAGAAAACAGGGGUUACUUUUAUGCCUCUUACUAUAGGGUUUUUAAGGUCUUAAGUGAUUGAAAAAUAGAACAAUCAAGUCAAGCACUAUGUCUCAAGUUCUUCUGUCUUACCUUUGCUCUGGAGUUUUUUUAUAAGUCUGCAAAAUAAAACCAAGGCAUUUGCCUUCUUCUCGAAAGAUAUAUAUAAGUAGAGCUUUAAAAGUUUUAGCAUACUUACUUUGCAUUUUGCUAUGUCAACGCUCGGAGUAAGGGAGAGGAAUGUCAUACUCCUAGAUCAAGACCUUUGACCUUUUUGAAAAGUUUGUCAUCUCUUACUGGCAUAUUGCUUAUUAGAGGGACCAUGGGCUAUCAUUUUUUUUCUCUUUUUUUUUAAAGUGGGCAGCAAGUUCCCCUAAUUCCACUGUCGGACACAUGUCCAUUUUUUUCCACUCAGGAGGGUAUCUUUGUACCCCUAAUUCUACUUCGGACACUUGUCCAUUUUUACCUCUCGUCUCACUCUCCUUUUUUUCGAGUCACAUUUUUGCAUAGUCCCAGGCCUCUAACGCAAUGAUACUUCGGAAGAGUGAAUCUUUUAUAUUUUUAAAACAAAAAGAUCUUGAUCUUGGGAGCAUGAUAAUUCUCUCAACCAAAACUACAAGAAUUAACAAUGGCUUGAACAAAGCAAGUGCCCAUGGUUUUAAUAUUUAUAUCUUAUAAGACUCUAGGUAUUAUGAUCUCAUAUAUUUUUUUAUGAAUUUUUAGAGUUUCAAAAGAUAAAAUCUCUAGAACUCUAGCAAAACUUGGAACAAGUUAAAUAGUAGCUCAGACCUUCUCAUAUCAUGUUUGUCAAUUACCAAGACUUGAAUCAAACUUUUUUUUUAUUUUUAUUUAAAACUUAGGAUUACACAAAACUAUUGUAUAUUACUCAAAAGAAAAACUUUGUUUGGUUUCAUGGUUAUGCAUUUUUAUUUAUUUAUUUAUUUCCGAAUACUAGAAAAUAAAACCAAAGGAAGAAAAGUAAUACUUAUCUAGAUACACGUGGGGGUGCCUCCCCCAAGCUGGAUGUUGACAUAGUCGUUCACUCUGGUGGCCUGCAUGUUCGGUCUCACUCUUCUUAAGCCUCAAAAUCCUGCACAACCCAAAUAGACAACAAAACUUGUGGAACAUGUUAAGGGUUAGGUAAUUGCCUAGAGCUUAUGAGAGCUUAAUGUGAGAAUUCUAUGAAGUCAAUCACAUCAAGUUCCUCUACCAGGUUGUUUUGUGGCUCGAGAUAGAUUUUCAAGCGUUGACCAUUUACCUUAAAAGUGUUACCUAUGUCGUCUUGGAUGGUAAUGGCUCCAUGAGUUGAAGUGUCAAUAACCUUGUAUGGUCCAUCCCACUUACUUCGUAGCUUACCAUGCCCAAAGAGCUUAACUCUUGAAUUGAAUAGUAGAACCUUAUCUCCAGGCUUAAACUCCUUGUGCUUGAUUCUCUUAUCAUGCCAUCAUUUUGUUCUUUCUUUAUAGAUCCUUGAAUUGUGGUAGGCUUUCUCUCUCCAUUUUUCUAGCUCAGAUAGUUGCAUCAGACGAUUCUCGCUAGCAAGGUGGUGAUCCAUGUUCCAUUUCUUGAGUGCCCAAUGAGCCUUAAACUCUACUUCUACAGGCAAAUGACAAGUUUUUCCAUAUACAAGUUGAUAAGGUGACAUGCCUAUGGGUGUUUUGAAUGCAGUUCUAUAUGCCCAAAGUGCAUCAGGAAGUUUGUCCUUCCACCCCUUACCCAUCUCAUCUACGGUCUUCUGUAAAAUAUUUUUGAUUUGUUUGUUAGAUGUUUCGGCUUGACCGCUAGUCUGAGGAUGGUAUGGUGUUGCGACGUUGUGUCGAACUCCAUGAUCGGCUAGGUACUUCCGGAAGAUUUUAUCGAUGAAGUGGGAACCUCCAUCGCUUAUAACUAUCCGGGGUAUACCAAAGCGAGGAAAGAUUACUUCAUGGAACAUUCUCUUGGCAUGUUUUGAAUCAGCUGAUCGACAAGGUAGGGCUUCUACCCAUUUGGACACAUAGUCCACAGCUACUAAGAUAUACUCGCAAUUCCCAGACAUAGGGAAUGGCCCCAUGAAAUCAAUGCCCCAAACAUCGAAAAGUUCUACUUGAAGAUUAUUUGUGAGAGGCAUUUCAUUUCGUGAGUUAAUAUUCCCAUGUUUUUGGCACCGGUGGCAUCUCCUGACAAAGUCCUUUGUAUCUUCAUACAUCGUUGGCCAGAAAAAACCACUUUGCCAAAUUUUAGCAUGUGUCCGAAAUGCUCCAUAGUGUCCUCCAUAUGGCGAGGCAUGGCAUCUUUCCAUAAUUUGAGUAGCCUCAGCCAUAGGAACACACCUUCUCAAGAGUCCAUCAGCGCAGACUCGGAAAAGAUAUGGCUCAUCCCAAAGGUGGAAACGACUAUCGUGAAGCAACUUCCUUUUGUUUGCACCAGGUGGGACAUAGCCUUUUACUAUAAAGUUUACGAUGUCUGCGUACCAUGGAUCUGCAUGUGUUAUCUUAAGUAGGGUGUCAUCCCUUAGGUAGUUAUUUAUGGGAAGUUCAUCAUGUGUUUCCUUAUAUUGAAGCCUAGACAAGUGGUCGGCUACGGAAUUCUCAACUCCCUUCCUAUCUCGGAUUUCUAUGUCAAAGUCUUGGAGUAGAAGAAUCCAUCGAAUUAGACGAGGCUUAGCAUCUUUCUUAGUGAGGAGGUACUUGAGAGCAGCAUGGUCUGAAUAGAUGAUUAUCUCUGCCCCCACUAAGUAAGAUCUAAACUUGUCAAUAGCAAAGACAACAGCCAAAAGCUCUUUUUCAGUUGUAGUGUAAUUGAGCUGUGGUCCAGACAAGGUUUUGCUAGCGUAGGAUAUGGCAUAAUGCUUUCUAUCCUUGGUUUGUCCUAAAACGGCACCAACCGCAAAAUCGCUAGCAUCACACAUGAUCUCAAAAGGAAGAUUCCAAUCAGGUGGUUGGAUAAUCGGAUCUGAGAUGAGUGCUUUCUUAAGAGUUUGAAAAGAUUCAUGACACUCAUCACUAAAGAUGAAAGGUGCGUCCUUAGCUAGGAGAUUAGUUAGGGGUCUAGCUAUUUGAGAGAAAUUCUUGAUAAAGUGUCUAUAGAACCCUGCAUGUCCCAAAAAGCUACGGAUUCCUUUCACAUUCGUGAGAGGUGGAAGUUUUUCAAUAACUUCAAUCUUUGCUUUGUCCACCUCUAUACCACGUUCGGACACUUUAUGUCCUAGCACUAUUCCUUCCUGAACCAUAAAAUGGCAUUUCUCCCAGUUCAGGAUUAAGUGCUUUUCUUCACAUCGCUGCAAGACUCUAUCUAAAUUCUCCAAACAAUGAUCGAAGGUUUUGCCAUAGACGGUAAAAUCAUCCAUGAAAACCUCCAUGAUUUUCUCAAUUAUGUCCGAGAAAAUAGACAUCAUGCACCGUUGGAAAGAAGCUGGAGCAUUGCACAAUCCGAACGACAUUCGUCGGUAUGCAUAAGUUCCAUACGGGCAUGUAAAGGUAGUCUUUUCUUGGUCAUCUGGGUGGAUUGGGAUUUGGUGAUAUCCAGAAUAACCAUCAAGGAAACAAAAGAAAGAGUGGUUUGCAAGCCGUUCCAACAUUUCAUUAAUGAAGGGUAACGGAAAAUGAUCUUUCUUUGUAGCCUUAUUGAGUUUUCGAUAGUCAAUACACAUACGCCACCCAGUGACAAUUCAUUGAGGGAUGAGUUCAUUCUUCUCAUGCCUAACGACCGUCAUUCCUCCUUUCUUUGGCACUACUUGGACAGGGCUAACCGACUCACUAUGUGGCACAGGAUAAAUAAUCCCAGCACGAUAGAGUUUGAGGACCUCUUCCUUAACAACCUCUCGCAUAGCAUUGUUAAGUCUCCGUUGUGGUUCCCUUGAAGGUGUAGAAUUGGGAUCAAUAGGGAUACGAUGAGUACAGAGAAUGGGACUAAUGCCCGUGAGAUCUUCGAGAGAGUAGCCAAAUGCUGAUCUAUGCCUUUCAAGAACAGUGAUAAGUUGUUGUGUUUCAUAAUCGGUAAGCUUGUCACUGAUAAUUACUGGAGUUUUUGGGUUGUUGUGCAAAAAGACAUAUCUAAGGCCAGAAGGAAGAGGCUUUAGCUCUAUUGAAGGAGGUGAAGGUUGUUCAUUUUUGUCUAGCUCAACGGGUUCUACCAACUCUUCUUCUUCUUGAACAAAGUGUUCAUGAUUAAAGAAUGGUUGGGCCAUCUCCUCUUGAGUCAGCAUUAAGAUCUCCUCAAUAGGAUCUGGUUCAAGUUUGGGUUCCACUAUCGUGUUAAUUGAUCUAGCAAGAGAAACAACAAUAGUGGAAUUCCCAACCUUGAAGUCUAAAUGACCUCGUUGUGGUUGUUCUUGUAGAAGUUUCAUGAUUGGUCUGCCAAUCAAGAGAGGAAUCUCCGGUAUGUCGUAAAUGUGAAAAUCUAGACAUAUUCCAGAGUCCUUGAUUCUAACAGGAACUGCCCUUAAUACCCCAUGGCUUUCUAGAAUUAAUCUAGAUGGCCUUUAUAAAAGUUUUUGAGAUGGGGUUAUGGACUCGUUGGGAUAAAGGGUGUCGGCUAACUCCUUGGAAAUAACAUUUAUCCCAACAUAUGGAUUGUAGUGGACCUUCCUAGUGGACCGUCUAAUUUGGCAUAGAAGAAUGGUUGAAGGAGUGAUGAUCUGAGCUACCUCAGGAGACAGCUCUGCUUCUGUUAGCCAUUCAUAACUCAGAAUAGCCGAAAGGCUUUUGAUGUGUUCUAUAUCAACAGAUUCUACUCUUAGAAUGGAUUGAGUGGUCCUUGCUAGAGGUCGUGUUUGGAUAGGAAAAUUCGAGGUGUUUCCAUAAUCUUCAAAAAGAUCUUCCUCAAAUUCAAAGGGAUGCUCUAAAGGUGGUGGUUCAUCAUCCCUUAGUUGGUUUUGCCUUCCUUUAUCAGGUGGUUUCUCUACAACCAAAUUAAUGGAUGGGUCAGGUGGAAUUUCUAAAUCGGUUGCAAGUUCCUCAUCUUUUAGUUUAGGGUCAGGCUCGACUUCUUUCUCUUCUUCAGGAAACUCAUCAUAAAUGCCUAUGUAAGGGGUAUUUUCAAGGAUUCUCUCUAGGAUAGCUCUCCCCUCAUCUAUGAGUUUGUGUGUGAAUGAGCCUCCUGAAGCAAUGUCGAGGUGAAGAGCAGCCUCCUUGCUUAGACCACGAUAAAAGUGGUAGUACAGUACAUGGUCAGGCAGGGAAAGGUUUGGACCGGAAUUGGUAAGGCUUGUGAACCUAGCCCAAGCUGCUCCUAAUGUUUCCUUCUCUCUUUGUUUGAAUGUAAGAAUUUGAAUUCUAAGGUCAGCGAUGCGAAAAAGUGGGAAGAAAGCGAGACAAAAGGUGUCCCAAAGUUCAUCCCAACUUCCAUUAACGCCUCCUACAGAAUGAGCAUACCACUUUUUUGCUCUUCCCAAAAGGGAGAGUGGAAAUAAUUUCCAUUUAAGGGUUUCUUGUGUCAUGCCAGAAAUAGAUCGGCAAGAGCACAACUGCUCAAAUUCUCUAAGAUGGGUGUAUGGAUCUUCAUCUACUUGCCCAGAGAAGGGUUGCUCCUGAAUCAUGGCUAUUAGAUCAAGGCCGAGGUCAUAGCCAUCUGUAAGAAUUGGAUGUGAUGAUGGUGGUGGCUCUAAUAACUCGCCCUUUGGAGCAAAGAAUUUAUAGAUAGGAGUGAAAUCCAUGUGGUAUGGUGAAAAUGGUAAGGUGAGUGUGGUAAAAAAGGGAAAAGAAAAAGGAUACACGGACGACUUGGUUCGAAACUAGCACAGCUACCGUUCCCGGCAACGGCACCGGAAAGCAUGUUGGGUAUUUUAAACACAAACAGAAAAAUCCGCAAGCGCACGGAAACCGACGUAGCUUUCACCCGGGAGUAUUCCAGAGUAUCGAUUUUCCACAGGGAACGUGAGUGUACUAAUUAAGAUCCAAGAUCGCCCAAGGAUAACUAUAUAAUUAUUUUUGGUGGGAAGAGAGGAAGUUUCCUGAGAGUUCUCUAAUUGAUCUAAGAAUCAAGAAUUACUUCAAAGAUUAUUUAUAUCGGGACAUCAGAGCACUAACCACAGAAAGAGAUGAGAAGGGGGCUAGGAAGCUCCGACAACGGUCCUACAAACACCGAUCCGAACGAGGUGGAAUACGUCGACCGUUAGGGCUGUCACUACCCUAGGGCUACCACAACAAUCCGCAGGAUUGGGUGCAAUUCCAGGUAAUUGCAAGACUAAACACCACGUCUAAUCUAUUAAUUACUACUCUAAUGUUGCAAAGAUUAGAGCACUUGAUGCAAGCGGGAAUCCAAUAAAUAACUUGAAUGUAAAUAAAAGUAAUUAAAGAACUCAGGAUUAUGAAUUGAAGAACCUGGAGAACGAUGAAGAACGAACCAGUUGCUGCAAAAGUACAAUGUUGAGGAAGAUCCGACAGAUCCGGCUCCUCCUCCUCCGCUCUCCUCUUCUCUCUCCCUAUUUUCUAGAUUACAACUAGAACUAACUAGAACUAGAACUAGAGGAACUAGAACUAGAACUAGAUGAACUAGAACUAGAUCUAGAUGAACUAGAGGUAGAACUAGAAGAACUAGAGGGAUCCUCUCUACUUGGAUGAAGACUUGAAACCCUAACUUUGAUUCUGUAGAAGAGGUAUGAUCUCCAGGGGCCAGGGGGGUCUGGUUUUAUAGUCCCUUCAAGUGAAUCUGGGCCGUCGGAUCAAACCGACAUUGAUCGUGUGGUUUUCCUUGAAGUAUUAGGUCGGUGGAGCAUUGUCCGCGACACGUGUCCUGAUUGGGCACUGUAGCUGGGCGGGCGCCCAAGAGAGUUGGGCGGGCGCCCUGGCUCCGAGCCCGAUUUCCUUCCCGUUUGUUCCCGUGGCUUCUGGAGUCUUCUAGAUGAUAGAAAAUUGCGCGACACGUUAAUAUCUCUAUGUAAAACCGACGUGUGGGUCUUUCUUUCAUAUUUCCUGAUAACCCCCUGCAGAAAUAGACAAACACCAAAACUCGUGGAAUUCUGUCAGAUAAAACCCUAAGUCUAGGUGUUGGUUGGAUUUGGAUCCUUUUCCAUGAUUAGUUGAUGGUUAAAUGUGAGCAUUAAGGCUUGUUGGGUAUUUUAAACACAAAUAGAAAAAUCCGCAAGCGCACGGAUACCGAUGUAGCUUUCACCCGGGAGUAUUCCAGAGUAUCGAUUUUCCACAGGGAACGUGAGUGUACUAAUUAAGAUCCAAGAUCGCCCAAGGAUAACUAUAUAAUUAUUUUUGGUGGGAAGAGAGGAAGUUUCCUGAGAGUUCUCUAAUUGAUCUAAGAAUCAAGAAUUACUUCAAAGAUUAUUUAUAUCGGGACAUCAGAGCACUAACCACAGAAAGAGAUGAGAAGGGGGCUAGGAAGGUCUGACUACGGUCCUACAAACACCGAUCUGAACGAGGUGGAAUACGUCGACCGUUAGGGCUGUCACUACCCUAGGGCUACCACAACAAUCCGCAGGAUUGGGUGCAAUUCCAGGUAAUUGCAAGACUAAACACCACGUCUAAUCUAUUAAUUACUACUCUAAUGUUGCAAAGAUUAGAGCACUUGAUGCAAGCGGGAAUCCAAUAAAUAACUUGAAUGUAAAUAAAAGUAAUUAAAGAACUCAGGAUUAUGAAUUGAAGAACCUGGAGAACGAUAUAGAACGAACCAGUUGCUGCAAAAGUACAAUGUUGAGGAAGAUCCGACAGAUCCGGCUCCUCCUCCUCCUCCGCUCUCCUCUUCUCUCUCCCUAUUUUCUAGAUUACAACUAGAACUAACUAGAACUAGAACUAGAGGGACUAGAACUAGAACUAGAUGAACUAGAACUAAAUCUAGAUGAAGUAGAGGUAGAACUAGAAGAACUAGAGGGAUCCUCUCUACUUGGAUGAAGAAUUGAAACCCUAGCUUUGAUUCUGUAGAAGAGGUAUGAUCUCCAGGGGCCAGGGGGUCUGGUUUUAUAGUCCCUUCAAGUGAAUCUGGGCCGUCGGAUCAAACCGACAUUGAUCGCACGGUAUCCUUUAGGUCGGUGGAGCAUAAUCCGCGAAACGUGUCCUGAUUGGGCACUGUAGCUGGGCGGGCGCCCAUGAGAGUUGGGCGGGCGCCCUGCCUCCGAGCCCGAUUUCCUUCCCGUUCGUUCCUGUGGCUUCUGGAGUCUUCUAGAUGAUAGAAAAUUGCGCGACACGUUAAUAUCUCAAUGUAAACCCGACGUGUGGGCCUUUCUUUCAUAUUUCCUGAUAACCCCCUGCAGAAAUAGACAAACACCAAAACUCGUGGAAUUCUGUCAAAUAAAACCCUAAGUCUAGGUGUUGGUUGCAUUUGGAUCCUUUUCCAUGAUUAGUUGAUGGUUAAAUGUGAGCAUUAAGGACCGUCAACAAACUCCACUUGAGUAGAUCUCUAUAAAUGCUGUCAUGCUACCUUUGUCUAUUUACUAGUAAGUGUUAGUUUGGAAGUACUGCACAUACUUCUAUUGGCUUUUAAAUUAAGCAUGGUGCUUAGGUUAAACAACCUUCCUUAAUUUGAUUAGACAUGGAGUCUAGUUCGGUUAUUGAACUAAAAAUUGCUUGUGUAUACAUUGGUAUAUUUUUGUCGGACUAACCCCUACAGAAAAACUUUCAAUAUCGAUUUGGGAAGUCCUGAGAUAAACUCACAUCUGAGACGAAGAGAGUGACACAUGAAGUUUAACAAGUUGCACAAGAAGGACAUAGCUCAUUCAUCAUAGAGAGAUGAUCCAUGGAGGGUGCCACAAACACGAUGCACAACCGCUAAGCAAGGAAAGCUUCCACAAGGUGAUACUGUACCAUCACUCUUCAAGCAAGGUAACAUCUUAAGGUACUUGACUAUCACUUUUAUAAGCUUCUCCUUGGUUCUGGCAUUCAUAUAAAUAAAAGAGACAAACAUGUAUGAUUUACAACUCUAGAUUAACCAACCCAACUGAUUCAACAUGUUUAGUCCUUUAACCCUUGUUCUUAGUACUACCUCCAUGAUCCCACACUCCUAAUCAUAUGAGCUAAAAUGUUACACAUUCAAUCAUUGAGAGAUAUAAAGAAAAAGACAUAUACAUAGUUAGAUUAUCUUUCCAUAAGGUUGAGCGAUCGGAUCUGACAAAUGUUAUAAGUGCUACACUCAUGAUCUUUUCAUCCAUCAACUUUGUCUUGCUCACUAUGCUUAGGGUUAGAGAAGAACAAAUACACUUUAGGUUCUGUUGGCAGUAACCUGCUCAGUGAGAGUUUUAUAACUCUCAGACUCUACCUGCCAACGCCGCAUUUCGAACUGCUGGGCAAACGAAGAAUAUGGGUGACACCGUAUCAAGAGGUGCAGACAUCAAGGUCCGCACCUGAAUCAAAUGACGCACCUGAAAAAUGAACACGGUGAGAAGUCUUGUUAAGAAGACUUAAAACAUUGAACCCUCGCCGAAAGGUAAGAUCGGUAGUUAUCCAUAUUUAUCCUUUCUGCAUUCCCUUUUCCCUUUAAUUAUUUACUUUCCUUAAAUAGAUUAUUAGUUAAUCAUGCUAUCUUGAAAAGAAAAUAAAAAUGUAAAAAAAUACUAAGCCCCAUGUGAGUAUACGAGUGGCAUAAAACACAUAAGUACCUUCACUGUGGUGGCAUAAAAAUAAAAUAAAUAUUUCUUUUCUGCUUUAUAAAAUAAAAAUAUAAAAACAGGGAGUAAUAUUUAUUGAGGAAGCUCAACAUGAUGAAGUCUAGAUAUUUAUGCUAACACUUAAUUAGUUCCACAAGCUUUGUUGUCUAUUUGAGCUCCACAGAAUUUAAGAAUCAAGAAGACUAGCAGACGGAGGACAUUCUAACCGCUGUCAGAAUGGUGCUGACUUUCAAAUACACCUCUGCCACCUGCUAGCUACAUCAAGAGAAAUUACGUCAAAAAUCAGCUUGGGGGAGAGCACCCCCAUUUAUCUCGCUAAGUAUUUCUACCUAUCUUUAUACUUAUAUUAUAUUAGAAUAUUAAAAUACAUAAACUAUGAAAAACCAAAUAAAGAUUUCGUGCUUAUAUAUAUCUUUUGCUUAGUGUGUUUAAUAAAUAAAUAAAGUGGCUAUGCUAAUUUGAAUCAUAAUAAUAAAACUCUAGCAUGGAUAUGAUGAAUAGUUGCUCUGCCUAAUUUGCAAAUUUGAAGUUCUCUCUCAAGUUUAGACAUAACUGUUAUAACUUAAAGCUUGCUGUAGAUCUAAAUUUGUGGGAUAAAAACUUGAUCUGAAAUCUAAGUUGUUAACGGAUAUGAUAUGGGAAGGUUGAACUGCUGUUUAUCUGUUCCUAGACAUGCUAGAAUUCUGAAGAAUUUUAUCUUUGAAAAAAUCUUUAAAAUAUUGCAUGAUGAGUUCCUGUAUGAUGAAAGUUUAAAUUCCUACCACAGCCAUAUAUACAUACUUGCUAGACUUUGAGCCACACAUUUACUAUUUACUGCUUAUGAGCAUUGAGUGUGGUCAAGCUGUGUACACCCUUAGGAGCUUGUCAUGUGGUUAAAUCAAGAUUUCACUUGCACAUUCACUCAUACAUUCUACUUCUACUCCGAAAGUACCAUCCACAUAUAUCCACUCAUUUCCAUCUCCAAAACCACCCAAAAAUAUUCUACUCCUAAUCCGGGAGAGAAUAACCAAAAAUAUUUCUGUUUUUCCUUGUGAAAUAAAUGCUCAAGUUAUCUUGUUACUACCACUUGCUAUAUUAUCUCAUGAGAUGAGUGCUCUAAAAAAAGGAGGAGAGAAAAAAUAUACGAGGAAAUAAAAAGAGGCAAGUGCCCGGAUCCUCGAAAGAAAAAGAAAAAGAGUGAGACGAGAGGUAAAAAUGGACAAGUGUCCGACAGUAGAAUUAGGGGUACAGGAUACCCACCUGAGAGGAAAGAAAAAAAAUGAAAGAUAGAGCAUCUCAUUCUCCUCAUAAAUUUUCAAAAAGCAAGGAAGGUAUGUAUCCCUUCAAAAGAGCAAAAGUAGAAUUAGACUUCCACCAUUGUUAUCACCAUCAUCACCAUACACCAUUCAUUCGCCACACAUGCACAUCUUGAUUUGACUUAUUGACUUGUUUCUCUGGAUCCAUGGUUUGACUAUGCAAUAAAUGUCUUGUAAGUAUGUAUUAGCUGUCUCCCACCUAUGAGCUCCAGACAUUAAAGCCUUAUUAGAGUAGGGUGAGAGAGAAGGCAAUGUCACUAUGCAUUAUACCACAAAUACCACAUAUCUUGAGAGAAGGCAUAUACCAUCACUGCCUUGGUAAGGAUCCAGAAAUACCGCAAAAGAGAGAUUUAGAGAGUCAUACAAGGAAUCUCUGAGUUUUAUUUGAAAAUCUGCAAAAACUCUAGAGCUAUAGCUGAUCAAGAAUAAGAGACAUGGCACUUGGCUAGACUGUUCUAUCUUUUAAC